GUUGAUUUAAGAGCAGCUCAAACUCUUUAAAACGUUGCUCUCUUCCUGACGAUACUUAGCCUACUGGUCAGCUGCUAGAUAAGCAAAAACCACUUGGGCUAGCUAACGUCAGCUACAGUACCUUCAGAAAGUAUUCAUACCCCUUAUUCAACAUUUUGUGUUACAGCCUGAAUACAAAAUGUAUUAAAAAUAUUUUUUUUCCUCACCCAUCUACACACAAUGGCCCAUAAUCGUAUUUUUGCAAAUGUAUUGAAAAUAAAAUACAUAAAUGGCUAAUUUAGAUAAGUACUCACCCCUGAGUCAAUACAUGUUAGAUUCACCUCAAAGGCAGAGAUUACAGCUGUGAGUCUUUCUGGGUAAGUCUCUUAAGAGCUUUGCACACCUGGAUUGUAAAACGUUUGUACAUUAUUCUUUUAAAAAUUCUCCAAGCUCUAUCGAGUUGGUUGUUUAUCAUUGCCAGACAGCCAUUUUCAAGUGCUGCCAUAGAUUUUCAAGCCGAUUUAAGUCAAAACUGUAACUACGCCACUCAGGAACAUUCAAUGUCAUAUUGGUAGGGAAAUCCAGUGUAUAUUUGGCCUUGUGUUUUAGGUUAUUGUCCUGCUGAAAGGUGAAUUCAGCUCCCACUGUCUGUUAGAAAGCGGAUUGAACCAGGUUUUCUUCUAGGAUUUUGACUGUUUAGCUUUAUUCUGUUUCUUUUUGUCUUUCUUAGGGGUAGAUCAGCUGUAAUUUUGCAAACAGAUUGUGGCUUCUUUUAAUGUAAUUGUCCGUAUCAUGCCCAAUCCCCCAUAUAGUUUUUGGUAAAUAUAUAUUUUAUUUUCCUUCUUUAUUAUUUUCCCAUAACCCUAACAUCCCUCCUAAUUGGAGUAAACUAAUGGACAACAAUACAGCUUAUACAUACUAAAUACAUUUUAAGGACAAGGUACCUUUUACAUUACUGGAAAUGAUCUUAUCUUUUUUGUCCCACUCCAGCUCCCCUCAACCCCUCCCAUCUAGCUCUGAAAACCUUCCAGUCCCAGCCUUCAGCUCCCCUCAACCCCUCCCAUCUAGCUCUGAAAACCAUCCAGUCCCAGCCUUCAGCUCCCCUCAACCCCUCCCAUCUAGCUCUGAAAACCUUCCAGUCCCAGCCUUCAGCUCCCCUCAACCCCUCCCAUCUAGCUCUGAAAACCAUCCAGUCCCAGCCUUCAGCUCCCCUCAACCCCUCCCAUCUAGCUCUGAAAACCAUCCAGUCCCAGCCUUCAGCUCCCCUUAACCCCUCCCAUCUAGCUCUGAAAACCAUCCAGUCCCAGCCUUCAGCUCCCCUCAACCCCUCCCAUCUAGCUCUGAAAACCAUCCAGUCCCAGCCUUCAGCUCCCCUCAACCCCUCCCAUCUAGCUCUGAAAACCAUCCAGUCCCAGCCUUCAGCUCCCCUCAACCCCUCCCAUCUAGCUCUGAAAACCAUCCAGUCCCAGCCUUCAGCUCCCCUCAACCCCUCCCAUCUAGCUCUGAAAACCUUCCAGUCCCAGCCUUCAGCUCCCCUCAACCCCUCCCAUCUAGCUCUGAAAACCAUCCAGUCCCAGCCUUCCGCUCCCCUCAACCCCUCCCAUCUAGCUCUGAAAACCAUCCAGUCCCAGCCUUCAGCUCCCCUCAACCCCUCCCAUCUAGCUCUGAAAACCAUCCAGUCCCAGCCUUCAGCUCCCCUCAACCCCUCCCAUCUAGCUCUGAAAACCAUCCAGUCCCAGCCUUCAGCUCCCCUCAACCCCUCCCAUCUAGCUCUGAAAACCUUCCAGUCCCAGCCUUCAGCUCCCCUCAACCCCUCCCAUCUAGAUCUGAAAACCAUCCAGUCCCAGCCUUCAGCUCCCCUCAACCCCUCCCAUCUAGCUCUGAAAACCUUCCAGUCCCAGCCUUCAGCUCCCCUCAACCCCUCCCAUCUAGCUCUGAAAACCAUCCAGUCCCAGCCUUCAGCUCCCCUCAGCCCCUCCCAUCUAGCUCUGAAAACCAUCCAGUCCCAGCCUUCAGCUCCCCUCAACCCCUCCCAUCUAGAUCUGAAAACCAUCCAGUCCCAGCCUUCAGCUCCCCUUAACCCCUCCCAUCUAGCUCUGAAAACCAUCCAGUCCCAGCCUUCAGCUCCCCUCAACCCCUCCCAUCUAGCUCUGAAAACCAUCCAGUCCCAGCCUUCAGCUCCCCUCAGCCCCUCCCAUCUAGCUCUGAAAACCAUCCAGUCCCAGCCUUCAGCUCCCCUCAACCCCUCCCAUCUAGAUCUGAAAACCAUCCAGUCCCAGCCUUCAGCUCCCCUUAACCCCUCCCAUCUAGCUCUGAAAACCAUCCAGUCCCAGCCUUCAGCUCCCCUCAACCCCUCCCAUCUAGCUCUGAAAACCAUCCAGUCCCAGCCUUCAGCUCCCCUCAGCCCCUCCCAUCUAGCUCUGAAAACCAUCCAGUCCCAGCCUUCAGCUCCCCUCAGCCCCUCCCAUCUAGCUCUGAAAACCAUCCAGUCCCAGCCUUCAGCUCCCCUCAACCCCUCCCAUCUAGCUCUGAAAACCAUCCAGUCCCAGCCUUCAGCUCCCCUUAACCCCUCCCAUCUAGCUCUGAAAACCAUCCAGUCCCAGCCUUCAGCUCCCCUCAACCCCUCCCAUCUAGCUCUGAAAACCAUCCAGUCCCAGCCUUCAGCUCCCCUCAACCCCUCCCAUCUAGCUCUGAAAACCAUCCAGUCCCAGCCUUCAGCUCCCCUUAACCCCUCCCAUCUAGCUCUGAAAACUUUCCAGUCCCAGCCUUCAGCUCCCCUUAACCCCUCCCAUCUAGCUCUGAAAACCAUCCAGUCCCAGCCUUCAGCUCCCCUUAACCCCUCCCAUCUAGCUCUGAAAACCUUCCAGUCCCAGCCUUCAGCUCCCCUCAACCCCUCCCAUCUAGCUCUGAAAACCUUCCAGUCCCAGCCUUCAGCUCCCCUCAGCCCCUCCCAUCUAGCUCUGAAAACCUUCCAGUCCCAGCCUUCAGCUCCCCUCAGCCCCUCCCAUCUAGCUCUGAAAACCUUCCAGUCCCAGCCUUCAGCUCCCCUCAGCCCCUCCCAUCUAGCUCUGAAAACCUUCCAGUCCCAGCCUUCAGCUCCCCUCAACCCCUCCCAUCUAGCUCUGAAAACCAUCCAGUCCCAGCCUUCAGCUCCCCUCAACCCCUCCCAUCUAGCUCUGAAAACCUUCCAGUCCCAGCCUUCAGCUCCCCUCAACCCCUCCCAUCUAGCUCUGAAAACCAUCCAGUCCCAGCCUUCAGCUCCCCUCAACCCCUCCCAUCUAGCUCUGAAAACCUUCCAGUCCCAGCCUUCAGCUCCCCUCAACCCCUCCCAUCUAGCUCUGAAAACCAUCCAGUCCCAGCCUUCAGCUCCCCUCAACCCCUCCCAUCUAGCUCUGAAAACCAUCCAGUCCCAGCCUUCAGCUCCCCUCAACCCCUCCCAUCUAGCUCUGAAAACCAUCCAGUCCCAGCCUUCAGCUCCCCUCAACCCCUCCCAUCUAGCUCUGAAAACCAUCCAGUCCCAGCCUUCAGCUCCCCUCAACCCCUCCCAUCUAGCUCUGAAAACCAUCCAGUCCCAGCCUUCCGCUCCCCUCAACCCCUCCCAUCUAGCUCUGAAAACCAUCCAGUCCCAGCCUUCAGCUCCCCUCAACCCCUCCCAUCUAGCUCUGAAAACCAUCCAGUCCCAGCCUUCAGCUCCCCUCAACCCCUCCCAUCUAGCUCUGAAAACCAUCCAGUCCCAGCCUUCAGCUCCCCUCAACCCCUCCCAUCUAGCUCUGAAAACCUUCCAGUCCCAGCCUUCAGCUCCCCUCAACCCCUCCCAUCUAGAUCUGAAAACCAUCCAGUCCCAGCCUUCAGCUCCCCUCAACCCCUCCCAUCUAGCUCUGAAAACCUUCCAGUCCCAGCCUUCAGCUCCCCUCAACCCCUCCCAUCUAGCUCUGAAAACCAUCCAGUCCCAGCCUUCAGCUCCCCUCAGCCCCUCCCAUCUAGCUCUGAAAACCAUCCAGUCCCAGCCUUCAGCUCCCCUCAACCCCUCCCAUCUAGAUCUGAAAACCAUCCAGUCCCAGCCUUCAGCUCCCCUUAACCCCUCCCAUCUAGCUCUGAAAACCAUCCAGUCCCAGCCUUCAGCUCCCCUCAACCCCUCCCAUCUAGCUCUGAAAACCAUCCAGUCCCAGCCUUCAGCUCCCCUCAGCCCCUCCCAUCUAGCUCUGAAAACCAUCCAGUCCCAGCCUUCAGCUCCCCUCAACCCCUCCCAUCUAGAUCUGAAAACCAUCCAGUCCCAGCCUUCAGCUCCCCUUAACCCCUCCCAUCUAGCUCUGAAAACCAUCCAGUCCCAGCCUUCAGCUCCCCUCAACCCCUCCCAUCUAGCUCUGAAAACCAUCCAGUCCCAGCCUUCAGCUCCCCUCAGCCCCUCCCAUCUAGCUCUGAAAACCAUCCAGUCCCAGCCUUCAGCUCCCCUCAACCCCUCCCAUCUAGCUCUGAAAACCAUCCAGUCCCAGCCUUCAGCUCCCCUCAACCCCUCCCAUCUAGCUCUGAAAACCAUCCAGUCCCAGCCUUCAGCUCCCCUCAACCCCUCCCAUCUAGCUCUGAAAACCAUCCAGUCCCAGCCUUCAGCUCCCCUCAACCCCUCCCAUCUAGCUCUGAAAACCAUCCAGUCCCAGCCUUCAGCUCCCCUUAACCCCUCCCAUCUAGCUCUGAAAACUUUCCAGUCCCAGCCUUCAGCUCCCCUUAACCCCUCCCAUCUAGCUCUGAAAACCAUCCAGUCCCAGCCUUCAGCUCCCCUUAACCCCUCCCAUCUAGCUCUGAAAACCUUCCAGUCCCAGCCUUCAGCUCCCCUCAACCCCUCCCAUCUAGCUCUGAAAACCUUCCAGUCCCAGCCUUCAGCUCCCCUCAACCCCUCCCAUCUAGCUCUGAAAACCUUCCAGUCCCAGCCUUCAGCUCCCCUCAACCCCUCCCAUCUAGCUCUGAAAACCUUCCAGUCCCAGCCUUCAGCUCCCCUCAACCCCUCCCAUCUAGCUCUGAAAACCAUCCAGUCCCAGCCUUCAGCUCCCCUCAACCCCUCCCAUCUAGCUCUGAAAACCAUCCAGUCCCAGCCUUCAGCUCCCCUCAACCCCUCCCAUCUAGCUCUGAAAACCUUCCAGUCCCAGCCUUCAGCUCCCCUCAACCCCUCCCAUCUAGCUCUGAAAACCAUCCAGUCCCAGCCUUCAGCUCCCCUCAACCCCUCCCAUCUAGCUCUGAAAACCUUCCAGUCCCAGCCUUCAGCUCCCCUCAACCCCUCCCAUCUAGCUCUGAAAACCAUCCAGUCCCAGCCUUCAGCUCCCCUCAACCCCUCCCAUCUAGCUCUGAAAACCAUCCAGUUUUGACUUCUAAUUCCAUAUCUUUUUUAACUGUGCUGUGAUGUUUCACAAAAGUUCUGAACUUUUCUAUUCCCACAAUUCCUACAAACGGUAGACAUUAAGAGUAUUAUUAUAUUAUUGAUCAAAUUACUUUGGCUUUUCAAGUCACCCAGCAGUGCUAUUUGCAGAGUUUGCGUUAG
rnacentral:lncRNA from 1 species